rnacentral:tRNA from 1 species
GGAUAUAGCUCAAGUGGUGGAGCACAUGCUUGGCAUGCAUGGGAUCUUGGGUUCAAUCCCCAAUACCUCCU